UCGCGGAUUUUCCCAACGCGAAGCCCGGCGGGGAGAGCCGAGGGGGCUCCGGCCGUAGCCCAGCGGCCCCGGCGUGGCCGCUCCAGCCCCCCUGCCCGUCCAGGUAGUCGGCCCGGCUGCCGCCUCCGGCCCCGAGCCUUGGAGGCGAAGAGCCUGCGCGCCCGCCCUCCGUUCCGGGCCGCUGCUUCGGUCGGUCCCGACACUGCCCCCGAGGCCCGGUUGGAACGCGGCUCCGGCGACCCGGCGGUGCCCACCUCUGGACGCCGCGGGAGGGUCCCCGGUUCCCGGCCGCAGCGCGCCGGCCGCGCCCGGAACCCAGGCUCGGGGCCCCGCUUCCUGGCCGGCGGAAGUGCUGGGCUUCCCGGUCUCACGGAAGCCGUCUCGGAGCCUGGACCCCGAGGGACCUGAGAUGGCGCCGCCGGCGGGCGGGGCGGCGGCGGCCGCAGGCUCGGGCCCCGCGGCGGUGCUCGGGGCCGUGCACGCGGCGGUGCGGCCGCUGGGCGCGGGGCCGGACGCGGAGGCGCAGCUCCGGAGGCUGCAGCUGAGCUCGGACCCCGCGCGGCCCGGGCGCUUCCGCCUGGAGCUGCUGGGGUCGGGGCCCGGGGCGGUCGGUCUGGAGUGGUCCUUGGAGUCAGUUUCCUACACAGUCCGUGGCCCCAGCCAGCAUGAACUGCAGCCUCCACCAGGAGGACCUGGACCCUUCAGCCUGCAGUUCCUCAACCCCCAGGAAGCUCAGCGGUGGGCAGCCCUGGUGCAAGGUGCCACCGCAGAGGGACAGAAUGGCAGUGGCAGCCCAGCCCUAGCCCUGGGUGCAGAAAAGUGCCAUGCUUCCUUGCCCUGUCCCCCUGUGGCCCCAACACCCACAGCAUCCCAACUUGAGGUGCAUCUUCCCCAGAGCCCUGGAGACUUGGCUGAGAAAGAAGAGCUGGCCAGGCGCUUGGCCCAGGCUGUUGCAGGUGGGGACCAGAAAGGGGCAGCCCAAGUGGCAGCGAUCCUGGCCCAGGGUCACGUGGCUCUCGAUAUCCAGCUCCCAGAAGCCUGCUUCCCACCUGGUCCCAUCAGGCUGCAGGUGACAGUUGAAGAUGCCACAUCUGCUGCAUCCUCUGCGUCUCCCGCCCACAUUUCACUCCAGAUCCACCCCCACUGCACCAUUGCAGCCCUCCAGGAGCAGGUGUUCUCGGAAUUUGGUUUCCCACCAGCUGUGCAGCGCUGGAUCAUUGGGCAUUGCCUCUGUAUGCCUGAACGGAGCCUUGCUUCCUAUGGGGUCCAGCAGGAUGGAGACCCUGCCUAUCUCUAUUUGCUCUCAGUCCCCCGAGAGGCCCCAGGUCAGUUCUUGAUAGGAGUGGGAAGGUGGGGUUCAGCCUGUGACAGCCCUGAGUGCCCUUCCUCUGCCAUAGGACACAGUACUCAACACUCCCAGAUGGAUGAAGAACCAGAAUGCUUGUUUCCCCAAUCAGCGGGGCUGCCCUCUGCCCCCAAGCCAGUAAGUUCCAGCCCCCCCCCCAAGUCCCCUUCAGCCUGGCUGGCCAUGUCCUUCCUGCACCUUCAUCAAUGCCCCAAGCCGUCCUGGUUGUGAGAUGUGCAGCACCCAGAGGCCAAGUGCUUGGGACCCUCUCUCUGCAGUCUCCACCUAGGAGCCACAGGUUAUGAGAACAGGCACCUUCCUUUAAAGGCCCAAGUCCUGGGAUUACCUCCUGAAACAAAGGGAUCUUUGCCGACUGCUUACUGAGGACAGAGCUACCAGGGAGUGGUGGUCAUUAAACACUUUGAACCAGC